rnacentral:lncRNA from 1 species
CCCCUCCAUAAUAGCAUAUUUACAAAUAUACCUACUUAUAUAUACCAAAUCUGUUAGGGACUUCGGGUUUCUUUUGCUAUAGUAUGUAUCUAUUUGUAUUGUACAGAUUGAUGGUUAAAAUAGGCUUUAGAACUUGUUUAAUUUAAAAUAGGUGUGAAACUUGAUAAAUUUGAAAUAGAUUUGAUUUGGUAGUGUUUGCAUUGUACAUUUUCUUUGAUGAAUAUUGGGUAGGGUAGGUACUACCACC